CAGCCGCCGCGGUAAUACGGAGGGGGCUAGCGUUGUUCGGAAUUACUGGGCGUAAAGCGCACGUAGGCGGCUUGGUAAGUUAGAGGUGAAAGCCCGGAGCUCAACUCCGGAAUUGCCUUUAAGACUGCCGAGCUAGUAGGUGAGAGAGGUAAGUGGGAUUCCGAGUGUAGAGGUGAAAUUCGUAGAUAUUCGGAAGGAACAUCUGUGGCGAAGGCGACUAUCUGGGCCAACACUGACACUGAGACACGAAAGCGUGGGGAGCAAACAGGAUUAGAUACCCCUGUAGUCCCUGUCUCUUAUU
rnacentral:rRNA from 1 species